AGCAGCCGCGGUAAUUCCAGCUCCAAUAGCGUAUAUUAAAGUUGUUGCAGUUAAAAAGCUCGUAGUUGAAUUUCGGGAUCAAUAUGUCGGUCGUGCUUUUUGGUACGUACUGGCGUCAUUGGUUUCUCCUUUCUGACGAGCCAUGAUGUCAUUAAUUUGGUGUUAUGGGGAGUUAGGACUGUUACUUUGAAAAAAUUAGAGUGUUUAAAGCAGGCAUUAGCUUGAAUACAUUAGCAUGGAAUAAUGAAAUAGGACGUUCGAUCCUAUUUUGUUGGUUUCUAGGAUCAACGUAAUGAUUAAUAGGGAUAGUUGGGGGCAUUAGUAUUCAAUUGUCAGAGGUGAAAUUCUUGGAUUUAUUGAAGACUAACUACUGCGAAAGCAUUUGCCAAGGAUGUUUUCAUUAAUCAAGAACGAAAGUUAGGGGAUCGAAGACGAUCAGAUACCGUCGUAGUCUUAACCAUAAACUAUGCCGACUAGGGAUCGGAUGAUGUUAAUUUUUAAUGACUCAUUCGGCGCCUUA
rnacentral:rRNA from 1 species